GGUGCGGGUGGGAGUGAAAACCCAGAGCUGGGACCUCUCCCAUGGCAGGGGCAGAGCCGGGCAGGGCUGGGGUCGGGCAGGGGCAGAGCCGGGCUGGGGCAGAGCGGGGCUGGGCAGGGCUCAGCAGGGCAGAGCCGGGCAGGGCAGAGCGGGGCCGGGCAGGGGAGAGCCGAACUGGGCAGGGCUCAGCAGGACAGAGCCGGGCUGGGCUGGGGUCGGGCAGGGCAGAGCCUGGCUGGGCAGGGGCAGAAAGGGACUGGGCAGGGGCAGAGCCGGGCCGGGCAGGGGCAGAGCGGGGCCGGGCAGGGCUCAGCAGGGGAGAGCCGGGCUGGGCUGGGGCAGAGCAGGACCGGGCUGGGGCAGAGCCGGGCUGGGCUGGCCCCGCUCCCUGAGCGGCCAGGGAGGAACCGGCCUUGGGCGCCCAGGGCCGCUGGGGCUGUGCCUCCUCCUCAGGGGCACACGGGGGUGGGCAGAUACGCACCGAGCCCGCCUCGCUUUGUUCUGAAGUGUAAAUUUAAUGCGAUAAGGCACGAGAGCGGCGAGCCCGAGCGAGCUCCAAGGCUGCGGCGGGGGAGCCGUCAGUGCUCCCCCAGCACCGGGGAGCGUUCCCGGAGCCCCGAGCCCUCGGUCCCUUCCGCGGGGCCGAUCCUCGCUCCCGCCGCCGCCGCCGGGGCUCCUCAGGGCUCCUCAGGGCUCCUCAGGGCUCCUCAGGGCCCGCGCCGCCCGCCGGGCCGGGGCUCAGCGCCGCCCGCAGCGCGGCCAUCUCCGCCCGCAGCUCCUCGCAGGCGGCGAUGCGGGACCGCAGCUGCCGCUGCCGCAGCUCCAGCAGCUCCCGCAGCCUCCCCGGCUCGGCCCGAACCUGCGGGGACACGGCGGGGACAGCGCUCAGCCGCGGAGCCGCUGGCCGCUCCCGUUCCCUCCGUUCCUCCUGUUACAGAUACACUUCCCCGUGCUCCCGUUCCCUCCGUUCCUCCUGCUACAGAUACACUUCCCUGUCCCCCCGUCCUCCCCGAUCGCCCUGGCCGCUCCGGUUCCCUCCGUUCCCCCUGUUAUACACUUCCCUGUGCUCCCGUUCCCUCCGUUCCUCCCCUGUUCCCCCGUCCCCUCUCCGGACCCCAAGAUGGCUCUGGCCGCCUCCAUUCCCUCCGCUCCUCCCGUGUCUCCCCGAUCCCCCAUGCCGCUCCCGUUCCCUCCGUUCCUCCUGUUAUAGAUACACUUCCCUGUCCCCUCGUCCGCCCUCCGGACCCUCGGAUGCCCCUGGCC
rnacentral:lncRNA from 1 species